rnacentral:lncRNA from 1 species
UUGAAAUUCAAGUCUGAUAUAGAGAAAAAGAAGGAACCUUAUUACUCAGCUGGGGACUUACACUUCUCCACAUACAUGUUCCCUUCUUUCUCAAUUCUCUAUAUACCAAGUGCAGUUCGGCUAGUAGUGUAGUAGUGUAUGAUGUUUCGAGCAUCAUCAGUAAGAAAAGGCUGCAUAAAUGGAUCCUCUCACGCCUAAACAUCAUCAAAUUUAAGUGGGUUUAAGGUAGGUUUUCUUGUUCAUAGCUUUUGUAAUAUAAAAUUUAGUAACAAGUGUUGCAUAUGAUAAUUGUGCUAUGAUUGAGUUAUUGAUUGGGCUGUGUUGGUUAAGAAGGUUUUAUGCAGGUUAAUUGGAGAGAUAAGGGUGGAAAAUUUUGUGUUUAACCACCUCUAAAAAAAAACAAAAAAAAACCUACGAACUCUGUCCUAAAAAGUAAUGCACAAAUCAUGUUUGAUGAAAUUCCUCUUAGGGAUGUUUAGUUUAAAAAGAAAGAAUCGGGCAAAGAUAUUAUCAAUGAAUGUUAUAUAUAUGUAUAUUGAAGUAGUUUAAAUAGAUUGGGCAAGUUAAGCUAAGCUUAAAAACUGUUUUGUGAAAGAUGAAACAAAUGAAGUUUGGGUGAAAAUUAGUGUGUCAGGCUGCUUUGGGCUAACUGUUUCGGCUAGUUAGACUUGCUGGAAAACUAUAAUUUUCUAGGGUCUUGUGGUGUGCAAUCCCAGCUAUCCAUAGCCUCUGGAACAGGCUCGUUCCGAGUUCGGACGGUCGAGUUAUGACAUGCCAAAGUGGGUGCGUCGAAUCUGUCCAAAAUUUGGAAGUCAGAUUCGAACCUGUCCGUUGUGCGAAUUUUCUGGAAUUAUGAGUGCAGAAUUUGGAAAAGGUUAUUGAAUAAGAGUUGUAGCCCCGGAAGUUAGCUUUGCGUGGGCGCAAGAAUCGCUCAAAAAUGUUUUAAAAUGAAUUAGUUAUGACUGUUUUAGCGAAAGAGGGUAAAACUGCGAAAAAGUUAAAAACUAUUAUGGAGGGGCAUUUUCGAGGCCUGUUAUGGGCUGGCUAAAAGACCCAAAAUAGGUGGUUUUUAUUUUAAAAUAAUAGUCUACUAUGGUGUUUAUAUCAUAUUUAAAAAUGGGAGCAAUCCGAUAAGCGAGGAAAAAGAUAAAAAUUCGCAAAGGGGCUGAUUCAUUAUGGAGACAGCAGCAUAGCUGGUACAGUCUGCCUGGGCUGUUUCGCCUCGCAGUUGAGUUAGUCUAGGUUGCUCGAUUUCAUGGGUUAAUAAAUUUUAUUAAGGCAUGGAUAUCCUACCUAAAACAUACUAAAAAUGUGUUACGAUUGGAAAAGUAGAUUUCAAGUUAUUAAGCCACGAAGUGGGUGUCAAAGGAGAGGGGCUGCUGCCCUGUGGCAGCAGCAGGUAGCAGCAGUGUGCAACAGUCCAGCUAGUUUGGCUUUGUUUUUGGUGUGUCUAAAUUACCCGAAAUGCUCAGUUAGUAUUUUGUAAAAAUAAUAUGGUAUCCUAUGUAUAGCAUGUUCAAAAAUGAGCUCAAUCCAACGAGCGAGUUAGGCGUUAAAAAGGUCGCGAAGUUGGCGUCAAGCCAUGGGGGCUGCUGCCCAGCAGCAGCAGCAGAGGGCAGCAGAACAGCGGCAGUAGCAGCAGCCACAAUUGGGCUAUGCCUAGUUGUGACCUGUUUUGGUUCCGCGAUGCGUUUGCUUGGUUUUUAACGAUUGGGUUUAUAACGAAGCAUCGAAAUAAAUGUAUAAAUAUAGUAUAAUAACUAUAUAUUGUUAACUCGUUUAAUAUACAAAAAAAGCGAUAAAAGUUAUAUGUAAAUGCAAGUUUACAUAUAUAUGUGAAAUCUAUUCGGGUGAUGGAAUGCAAAAAGGUUAUUAGUUAAAAUGGAAUACACUAAACUAUAUAAAGCUAGCUAUAUUGAACCUGAAAAUGUUAAAAUGAAGGGUUUCCGGAGUUUGAAACAAAGAUUUUGAACACGGAAUUAUAUAAUGACAUAUGUAUGAAUUUAAAAUACAUGCGAAGUGAGAAUGUAAAUUAGUCGCGAGAAUAAAUGUGAAGCUAAAUUACUAACGAAGUAAAGCAUUCGCAUACAUGUCGAUAGUGUGGUUUAGCUCAUGUCGCAAAGGCAUAAAAAUUAUGUAAAUUAAAGAAAUGAUGAAAUGAGUUAUGUUUACGCAAUAAAAGUCAUUCAUAAACCAUAAAGUCCCAAGUUUACAAAUAAAGAUGAAAGAUAUUCUUAAAAUGGUAUAUAAAUGGUCUAUGCUUCGAGAUGUAAAGUGUUUAUAUACUAAAACCAUGAGAAAACCUUUUUGUGCAUAAAAAGGGUUAUAACAGACAAAAAGUUUCUAAAGAAACGUGGAAUGAUUUUAAGACGAACAAAAAGAUUAUACUUAAUAUAAAAUAAAAAUUAGUUUACAUUAAGUAUGUGAAUUUAGUAUGUGAAACUAAUGUGUGUGAAUAUAUACUCAAUUUGUGUAGGAUCAUCACCGAGCAGAUAAGUUAUAACAUUAAACAGCACUCGAGGCAAGUUUCUCAGUUUAUUUAUGUGGACUUAUAAUUGCUAUAGAUAAUUGUUAGCAUGACUUAUGUUUAUAAGUAUGUAAUACCUAUGAACUGCAUUAUUUGCUUUGUGAAUGAUGAAUGUCAAAUUAUGACUAAUUAUUGAAUUGAGUCGGGGAACUCAAUAUAUAUGUGCAAUGAAUGACAUGUGCAGGACAUGUGUAGUAUGCUAUGGUAUGUAUGUUGCUACCAGCAGGACGUAAAUGUGAUAAUUCAUUUGUAAUAUGCUUGAACACCAAGAAUAUAAAUGCAUGAACUGAAUGUGAAACCCAUGUGCUACGUGAUGCAUGAUAAACCGUUACUUGUUGGGCCGUCGUGCUCAAUCUUGCUUAAUUUGCAGGUUAAAGCUAUGAUGUGAUCUAUCGUGAUUAAGAGCGCAUGAAAAGAAGACUAGUGAUUUAAUUGAGAUUGUGUUGAAUCAUUUGAUGAUAUUUUCAUGUGUAAAUCACAUGUGUAAAUUUUUGAAUUAUUCAAUAGAUGAAGAUUAUUUGUUCUAAAAAGGGGAUAUGCUUGAAAGAAUGAAUUGUAUAUAUAUAUUCAUAUCUACUCAGGCUAAAUAAGUCGUAUAAUAAAUAUGAUUUCAGUAUAAAGAAGAAUCAUAAAGGUUGCGAUUCAAGGGAUGAAUGAAUAGC